rnacentral:tRNA from 1 species
GGGCCGGUCAGCUCAGUCAGUUGAGCGUGGUGCUGAUGACACCAAGGUCGCGGGUUCAGUUCCCGCUCGGUCCC